UCUUAAAAACAUUUAACAAACCACAGCAAAGAUAUUGACAGAUGUUUGACCACUUGGAGACAACUGUUAUAUUCUCUCACCCCACAUUUAAUGUAGUGAGGAGCACAUGUGAAGAUAGGCUUAUUAAGUCUUACAUCUUUAAGAAAAUUUAACUAUUUUUGUUGAACUCUCCCAGUGAUGUGGUCUCCUCCUCCUCCUGCAGAGACAGAAGUCCUGAAAUUCAAAAAGGAUAAAAAAAUUUCAUAUUAUAGCUAGAUGUCAAAAAAUUGUCAAAAAAUGUCAUAGUAUAAUAAGGCGUCAAAAACUGUCAAAGAAUGUCAUAGUAUAGUAAGGCGUCAAAAAUGGUCGAAAAUUGUCAUAGUAUAGUAAGGCAUCAAAAAUGGUUAAAAAAUGUCAUAGUAUAAUAAGGUGUCAAAAACGGUCAAAAAAUGUCAUAGUAUAGUAAGGCGUCAAAGAAUGUCAUAGUAUAGUAAGGCGUCAAAAAUGGUCAAAAAAUGUCAUAGUAUAGUAAGGCGUCAAAAAUUGUCAAAGAAUGUCAUAGUAUAGUAAGGUGUGAAAAAUUGUCAAAAAAUGUCAUAGUAUAGUAAGGUGUCAAAACUGGUUAAAAAUUUUCAUAUUAUAGCUAGACAUCAAAAAUGGUCAAAAAAUGUCAUAGUAUAGUAUGGCGUCAAAAAUUGUCAUAGUAUAGUAAGGCGUCAAAAAUUGUCAAAGAAUGUCAUAGUAUAGUAAGGCAUCAAAAACGGUCAAAAAAUGGUCAAAAAAUGUCAUAGUAUAGUAAGGUGUCAAAAACGGUCAAAAAAUGUCAUAGUAUAGUAAGGCAUCAAAAAUGGUCAAAAAAUGUCAUAGUAUAGUAAGGGGUCAAAAAUGGUUAAAAAUUUUCAUAUUAUAGCUAGACAUCAAAAAUGGUCAAAAAAUGUCAUAGUAUAGUAAGGUGUCAAAAACGGUCAAAAAAUGUCAUAGUAUAGUAAGGCGUCAAAAAUUGUCAAAGAAUGUCAUAGUAUAGUAAGGCGUCAAAAAUGGUCAAAAAAUGUCAUAGUAUAGUAAGGUGUGAAAAAUUGUCAAAAAAUGUCAUAGUAUAGUAAGGUGUCAAAAAUGGUUAAAAAUUUUCAUAUUAUAGCUAGACAUCAAAAAUGGUCAAAAAAUGUCAUAGUAUAGUAAGGCGUCAAAAAUUGUCAAAGAAUGUCAUAGUAUAGUAAGGUGUCAAAAAUGGUCAAAAAAUGUCAUAGUAUAGUAAGGUGUCAAAAACGGUCAAAAAAUGUCAUAGUAUAGUAAGGCGUCAAAAAUUGUCAAAGAAUGUCAUAGUAUAGUAAGGCGUCAAAAAUGGUCAAAAAAUGUCAUAGUAUAGUAAGGUGUGAAAAAUUGUCAAAAAAUGUCAUAGUAUAGUAAGGUGUCAAAAAUGGUUAAAAAUUUUCAUAUUAUAGCUAGACAUCAAAAAUGGUCAAAAAAUGUCAUAGUAUAGUAUGGCGUCAAAAAUUGUCA